rnacentral:rRNA from 1 species
GAUGAACGCUGGCGGCGUGCUUAACACAUGCAAGUCGAGCGGGGUGAUGGUGCUUGCACUAUCACUUAGCGGCGGACGGGUGAGUAAUGCUUAGGAAUCUGCCUAUUAGUGGGGGACAACAUCUCGAGAGGGAUGCUAAUACCGCAUACGUCCUACGGGAGAAAGCAGGGGAUCACUUGUGACCUUGCGCUAAUAGAUGAGCCUAAGUCGGAUUAGCUAGUUGGUGGGGUAAAGGCCUCCCAAGGCGACGAUCUGUAGCGGGCCUGAGAGGAUGACGCGCCGACCGGGGCGUGAGACACUGGCCAGACGCCUACGGGAGGCAGCAGUGGGGAAUAUUGGCCAAUGGCGGGAACCCUGAUCCAGCCAUGCCGCGUGUGUGAGGAAGGCCUUAUGGUUGUAAAGCACUUUAAGCGAGGAGGAGGCUCUUUUGGUUAAUACCCAAGAUGAGUGGACGUUACUCGCAGAAUAAGCACCGGCUAACUCUGUGCCAGCCGCCGCCGUAA